rnacentral:rRNA from 1 species
AUGCACGCUGGCGGCGUGCCUAAUACCUGCAAGUCGCGCGAACAGAUAAGGAGCUUGCUCCUUUGAAGUUAGCGGCGGACGGGUGAGUAACACGUGGGUAACCUACCUAUAAGACUGGGAUAACUUCGGGAAACCGGAGCUAAUACCGGAUAACAUUUAGAACCGCAUGGUUCUAAAGUGAAAGAUGGUUUUGCUAUCACUUAUAGAUGGACCCGCGCCGUAUUAGCUAGUUGGUAAGGUAACGGCUUACCAAGGCGACGAUACGUAGCCGACCUGAGAGGGUGAUCGGCCACACUGGAACUGAGACACGGUCCAGACUCCUACGGGAGGCAGCAGUAGGGAAUCUUCCGCAAUGGGCGAAAGCCUGACGGAGCAACGCCGCGUGAGUGAUGAAGGGUUUCGGCUCGUAAAACUCUGUUAUUAGGGAAGAACAAAUGUGUAAGUAACUGUGCACAUCUUGACGGUACCUAAUCAGAAAGCCACGGCUAACUACGUG